AGUUUGANCAUGGCUCAGGACGAACGCUGGCGGCGUGCUUAACACAUGCAAGUCGAACGAUGAAGCCCUUCGGGGUGGAUUAGUGGCGAACGGGUGAGUAACACGUGGGCAAUCUGCCCUUCACUCUGGGACAAGCCCUGGAAACGGGGUCUAAUACCGGAUAACACCGGCUUCCGCAUGGAAGCUGGUUGAAAGCUCCGGCGGUGAAGGAUGAGCCCGCGGCCUAUCAGCUUGUUGGUGGGGUAAUGGCCUACCAAGGCGACGACGGGUAGCCGGCCUGAGAGGGCGACCGGCCACACUGGGACUGAGACACGGCCCAGACUCCUACGGGAGGCAGCAGUGGGGAAUAUUGCACAAUGGGCGAAAGCCUGAUGCAGCGACGCCGCGUGAGGGAUGACGGCCUUCGGGUUGUAAACCUCUUUCAGCAG
rnacentral:rRNA from 1 species